CUGGAUCCCUGAUUGAGGCCUCUUUACCUUUUUGUGUCAUCGUGAUUGCUUUGUUUGUGUUGUGCUUUAACAUUGCACAUUCGUAUGCUCUAUUCUCUAACUGUUAAUCCAUUUCAUGUAUCGUUGAUUGUCUCGUCUGAGAAAGUUUGUAAAUUUGUGUUCAGAGUGUGUUGAGCCUGUGCGUUUUGUUUUGUUCUGUUUAUUCUUUCAACUGAUAGAUUUGUUUGUGCUGUACCCAUGCCUGAUACUGAGAGGGAGUUAGGUAAGUGAUGAUUGUAUUUUAUUUUCUUUCAUUUUGGGUUAGUAAGAGAGAGGGAUUUUGAGGAAGAUUGUUCUGUUAGUUAUUUUGGCCUUGUCCUCCCCUGAAGCCUAAAACUAAUCCUAAAGCCGAAGCCUAAAUGCGUAGGGAUUUAUAUGGGUUUUAACCUGGUAAGAAAAGAAUAAAGGCACAGAGAAAAGGCAACACCCACCCCCCCGGCCCAUGUGUGGCAGAUGUCCUUGUCCAGAGUGACUUACAGAAUUGCUUUAGAAGUCUAUAUGGUCAAUGUUUAAAAUCUAAUGCAGCAGAUACAGGAAACCAAUGGAGAGAGUGCAGUAAUGGGGGGUGUGGGAGAACAUCAGGAAACCCUUCCACAAUCCCACUAAAGGAUGUGUCCUAGUUUGCACGGGUUAGUAUUGAAAACACAAGAUCAACAAUUGGAGUCGCUCUUACCUUGAACACGGGUGUCCUUCGAAGUCCCUCGGUCUUCUAACAAAGCAAGAUGAUGGGUCUCUAUCCAACUGUCUAGGUCCAGCCUUUGGAUAUUUCUGGGUUCGGGGAGGCUGUGGCCGCUGUGGCCCUGCGUGUGGCCAACCUGGCAGUAUUUGAUCCAGAUUUAUCGAACCUGGCUCAGCUGGUAAUGAGCCGGGCACACACCACAAUUUCGAUGAUGCGACAGUAUGACCCCAUGUGGACCCAUGAGGUGCCUGAAAUGAGUGGGGUCCAGAGGGACCACGGGAACAGCGAAAUUAGGUGGUUGUUACGAAGUUCGGAGCAGCUGGUCGAGCGGAUGGCGGAACAGUCUGCACUGAGAUGUGCUGCGCAACAAUCGAAGAGAGCUAAGAUCAUCAGAGAGAAAGUGGAAGAAAUC